rnacentral:rRNA from 1 species
CUUGGUCAUUUAGAGGAAGUAAAAGUCGUAACAAGGUCUCCGUAGGUGAACCUGCGGAGGGAUCAUUACCGAGUUCAUGCCCACACGGGUAGAUCUCCCACCCUAUGUUAUCAUUACCUUUGUUGCUUUGGCGGGCCGCCAGGCUUCGGUCAGGCUACCGGCUCCGGCUGGUACGCGCCCGCCAGAGGACCCCAAACUCUGAAUGUUAGUGUCGUCUGAGUACUAUCUAAUAGUUAAAACUUUCAACAACGGAUCUCUUGGUUCUGGCAUCGAUGAAGAACGCAGCGAAAUGCGAUAAGUAAUGUGAAUUGCAGAAUUCAGUGAAUCAUCGAAUCUUUGAACGCACAUUGCGCCCCUUGGCAUUCCGAGGGGCAUGCCUGUUCGAGCGUCAUUACAACCCUCAAGCACUGCUUGGCAUUGGGCUCCGCUGCUAACCCAGCGGGCCUUAAAAUCAGUGGCGGCGCCCUCAGGCUCUGAGCGUAGUAAAUCUCCUCGCUAUAGAGUCCUGGUGGUGGUAGUCAUCAACCCCCAACUUUUCUAAGUUUGACCUCGGAUCAGGUAGGGAUUCCUGCUGAACUUAAGCAUAUCAAUAAGCGGAGGA